UGGAUAACCUACCUAUAAGACUGGGAUAACUUCGGGAAACCGGAGCUAAUACCGGAUAAUAUUUUGAACCGCAUGGUUCAAAAGUGAAAGACGGUCUUGCUGUCACUUAUAGAUGGAUCCGCGCUGCAUUAGCUAGUUGGUAAGGUAACGGCUUACCAAGGCAACGAUGCAUAGCCGACCUGAGAGGGUGAUCGGCCACACUGGAACUGAGACACGGUCCAGACUCCUACGGGAGGCAGCAGUAGGGAAUCUUCCGCAAUGGGCGAAAGCCUGACGGAGCAACGCCGCGUGAGUGAUGAAGGUCUUCGGAUCGUAAAACUCUGUUAUUAGGGAAGAACAUAUGUGUAAGUAACUGUGCACAUCUUGACGGUACCUAAUCAGAAAGCCACGGCUAACUACGUGCCAGCAGCCGCGGUAAUACGUAGGUGGCAAGCGUUAUCCGGAAUUAUUGGGCGUAAAGCGCGCGUAGGCGGUUUUUUAAGUCUGAUGUGAAAGCCCACGGCUCAACCGUGGAGGGUCAUUGGAAACUGGAAAACUUGAGUGCAGAAGAGGAAAGUGGAAUUCCAUGUGUAGCGGUGAAAUGCGCAGAGAUAUGGAGGAACACCAGUGGCGAAGGCGACUUUCUGGUCUGUAACUGACGCUGAUGUGCGAAAGCGUGGGGAUCAAACAGGAUUAGAUACCCUGGUAGU
rnacentral:rRNA from 1 species